CGCAGUCUAAUCACGUGACCUACGUUCGUCCCGACGACAUGACCGUUCGAGUUCGUCAAAUCAAACGAAGUGGUGAGGAAAGUGCUAUAACGGAUCAUCUGAUGACAUGUCUGCCGUGAUAUUUUAACACUCAUCUUCUUCAUCUGUGAUAUACUGUUGAUGUCAAGGUGUUAUCAGCACAAUAUGAUGGUGUGAUGUGCUGUGUGUUGAGAGGAAGACAGUGGGUCAGGAUUCAAGAACAUUAAACAUGGCGAGCAGCUGCGAAAGCGGGGUAGCGGGCCUUGUGUAUGAUUACAGUUCCGCAUUUUCACAAUUAGCAUGUGAGAACUUCAUCAUCAUUGUGUAUGAUAAGCCAAGAGUCAGUGUGGACACCACCCGGAUAAAAACAUGGUGCAUGGAUUAAAGUUUAUGUCAGGUGACCUGUCACGGAGAAAGCUUUACUCCUAUGUGAGUCUCAAGUCGUCUGCUGCGUUGGGACAGGAAGUGAGUCGAUAAAAGUUGUCAUGCGGUGGAAGGACAAAAAAAAAAAAAAAUCGCGUGGGAUGUGUCCUUAAUGAUUUCUUUUGCACCAUUUAUUCGAUCGGUUAUGGAGCUUUCUGAAAUACUUUUGGGGUUUGUACCUUCUUGCUUAGGAGUAAUCACACAUGUUAUUUGUGUGAAGACUUUGGUGAUAAACUCUACACAUUCUUGGAUCUUGUGCAUGGACAGACGGAGGAGGAAGAGGAUGAGGAGUCAUUUGCUUAUUUGCAUUUAUUUACCAUGCGUUAGAUACGACAGACGAUAGUUGUGUUCAGCAAGCACAAAAGAGAGGCGAAGGAGCACUACCGGAGGAGGAGGAGGAGGAGGAGGAGGGCACACCGCGGCAAGCACUGAAACACCUCCCAAUCCACCCUCCGUACAUCUGACCAACCAGCGCUGCUCCCUGUGAUGAUGACUGACAGGUGGACUCCGCCUACCCUUCCCUCAUCCGUCUCACCAUCCGCCGUCUCGCGCUGAGUGUUUGGAGUCCCUACAACAUCACCGAUAGAAGGCCUUAUGAUGCAGGUGCAAAAGUCCAGCCAGGUGUCUUCACCCAAUAAGUGGCUCAUAAGACAACACGAAAGCUAUUGGUGACUGCUUGUGGAAAGACAGCGAACUUCUGGCCUUGGCAGAAUCAGAAACAAAAUAGAAUAACAGAAUGAAAAAGUUGUCUACUUGUCUGGCAUAACAACAACGUCUACAAGUUUCCAGCUGAUUGUUAUGAAGAACUGAAUUCAACUGAGUGUAUUUAUGGUUUUUGGAAGAUGAAGGUCAAGCAAGACAGAAGAAGUCAAGAAGUGCUAACGACUGUGAAAAAAGUUGUCGACUCUGAAACAUAUUAGGACUGAUAAGAUCUCGGAUUCUGUCUUGUUUAAAAAUAUAUAAUUUCUGUGCCCAUCAUAUACGGAAUCCGGUUUUAAACUCACUUCACUAUAAGUCAAACUCAAAAAUAUUAAAAAUAUAUUUUAACAAA